CUUCCAUCCUCUGCCUUUUCAUCGUCCAUUGCACUCUCCCGCUUCCUUCUCAGCGUCCGGUGGUCGAGGAGACUUCGGAGCAACUCGUUGGGUUCCAUGGCAGGUGAUGGUGUUCCUGAGUGCGUUGGUGUAGCUGAUCCGGUGGCACCUUUGCCACAUCCGGAAACAGUGGGAGUGGCCGAAGAACCCGAUCGGCCGGCGACUUUGCCACAACCUGAAGCAGUUGAAGUGUCCCAAGCCCCCGAUCACCCGGCGCCGGAUGUGGAUGGGUCAAUGCGUAUCUCUACUUCAUAGUGUGCUUGGUUUUGAAAUGUAAUGCUUGGUUUUGUAAUGUAGUGCAGUGUGUUAUUUAAAUGUUCAAUAUUGUACAAAUUGCAUAUCAAUGAUUCACCGUAGUAGGUAUAGUUUGAUUUAUGAUC